UCAGUAACGGCGAGUGAAGCGGCAACAGCUCAAAUUUGAAAUCUGGCCCUAGGCCCGAGUUGUAAUUUGCAGAGGAUGCUUUUGGUGCGGUGCCUUCCAAGUUCCCUAGAACGGGACGCCAGAGAGGGUGAGAGCCCCGUACAGUUGGACACCAAGCCUUUGUAAAGCUCCUUCGACGAGUCGAGUAGUUUGGGAAUGCUGCUCAAAAUGGGAGGUAUAUUUCUUCUAAAGCUAAAUACCGGCCAGAGACCGAUAGCGCACAAGUAGAGUGAUCGAAAGAUGAAAAGCACUUUGAAAAGAGGGUUAAACAGCACGUGAAAUUGUUAAAAGGGAAGCGCUUGUGACCAGACUUGCGUCCGGUGAAUCACCCAGCUCUCGCGGCUGGGGCACUUCGCCGGCUCAGGCCAGCAUCAGCUCGCUGUCGGGGACAAAAGCUUCAGGAACGUAGCUCUCUUCGGGGAGUGUUAUAGCCUGUUGCAUAAUACCCUUCGGCGGGCUGAGGUACGCGCUCCGCAAGGAUGCUGGCAUAAUGGUCAUCAGCGACCCGUCUUGAAACACGGACCAAGGAGUCAACCUUAUGUGCGAGUGUUCGGGUGUCAAACCCCUACGCGUAAUGAAAGUGAACGCAGGUGAGAGCUUCGGCGCAUCAUCGACCGAUCCUGAUGUUCUCGGAUGGAUUUGAGUAAGAGCAUAUAGGGUUGGACCCGAAAGAAGGUGAACUAUGCGUGUAUAGGGUGAAGCCAGAGGAAACUCUGGUGGAGGCUCGCAGCGGUUCUGACGUGCAAAUCGAUCGUCAAAUAUGCGCAUGGGGGCGAAAGACUAAUCGAACCUUCUAGUAGCUGGUUUCCGCCGAAGUUUCCCUCAGGAUAGCAGUGUUGAACUCAGUUUUAUGAGGUAAAGCGAAUGAUUAGGGACUCGGGGGCGCUAUAUUGCCUUCAUCCAUUCUCAAACUUUAAAUAUGUAAGAAGCCCUUGUUACUUAAUUGAACGUGGGCAUUCGAAUGUAUCAACACUAGUGGGCCAUUUUUGGUAAGCAGAACUGGCGAUGCGGGAUGAACCGAACGCGAGGUUAAGGUGCCAGAGUAGACGCUCAUCAGACACCACAAAAGGUGUUAGUACAUCUUGACAGCAGGACGGUGGCCAUGGAAGUCGGAAUCCGCUAAGGACUGUGUAACAACUCACCUGCCGAAUGUACUAGCCCUGAAAAUGGAUGGCGCUCAAGCGUCUCACCCAUACCUCGCCCUCAG
rnacentral:rRNA from 1 species